rnacentral:lncRNA from 1 species
UGCAGAAGAAGGAGGAACCGACUGGGUGCGACGACCCAAACCGACCAAACGUCCCUUCUUCUUUGUAACCGACUGAAAUAGAAAAUAACCAAAUUUAAAUCAAGAAAUAAAUGAAUUGAACUUUAAAAAAAAGAACUUACGGAUUCAACGAUUUCGUUGAUUCAAAACCGGGACAAGUUGGUCGAAGCCGUCGAAGUGUCAUCCUCGG